ensembl:lncRNA
CAGACAGACAGGUCUACCAAGGGGAGAGAAUGUGAGACAGACAGACAGACAGACAGAAUGUGAGACAGACAGACAGGUCUACCAAGAGGAGAGAAUGUGAGACAGACAGACAGGUCUACCAAGGGGAGAGAAUGUGAGACAGACAGACAGACAGACAGACAGACAGACAGACAGGUCUACCAAGAGGAGAGAAUGUGAGACAGACAGACAGGUCUACCAAGAGGAGAGAAUGUGAGACAGACAGACAGACAGGUCUACCAAGAGGAGAGAAUGUGAGACAGACAGACAGGUCUACCAAGAGGAGAGAGUGUGAGACAGACAGACAGGUCUACCAAGAGGAGAGAGUGUGAGACAGACAGGUGUAGUUGGAUGGUAGGACCAAGGGAAUAGAAGAACCAAGGGAUAUCAAAGGUUCCAGUGCGGUAUGCAGAUGGUCGGGUGGGACUGGGGAAAUUGCUCACCCUUUGAAAUGGCCGCUAAUCUGGAAUCACCUGAGAGUUUCCUGACCUGUUUGAUUGUAUUGAGCCUUUAAUCAAGAUCCCACAGCAGCUAUAUAGAUGAUCUACAU